CACGUAGGGGCCAAGCGUUGUCCGGAUUUAUUGGGCGUAAAGAGCUCGUAGGCGGUUGGGUAAGUCGGGUGUGAAAACUCCAGGCUCAACUUGGAGACGCCACCCGAUACUGCUCUGACUUGAGUUCGGUAGGGGAGUGGGGAAUUCCUGGUGUAGCGGUGAAAUGCGCAGAUAUCAGGAGGAACACCGGUGGCGAAGGCGGAUCUCUGGGCCGUACCGGACGCUGAGGCGCGAAAGCUAGGGGAGCGAACAGG
rnacentral:rRNA from 1 species